rnacentral:lncRNA from 1 species
CUAAUAUGAUUUCCUUUUUAACGAGAAAAAAAUAUAAGAAGUUAAACAUCACCCAUUAACUUUGUUGAACAUCAUUGCUCAUCUUUAUGCUAUUAGAAAUUUCUUCAACAGAUCUAGUUAUUUUGGAUUUUUGGAGUGAGGUUAGAGCAUGAGACGAGGUGGACGCCAUAUCCCCUGUAUCUUGAAGAACUAUAUUAUUUCAUUUUUUUUUUGGCUACAGUAUAAGUUAGUGUGGAAUAAAGGCUAUAGAGAACCUUUUUUUAUCUACUGUUUUGAUCUACAAAUAUAUGCUUUAGAGUUUGAACUAAACUGAAUACAUCAAGGACUUUUGUCAUGUUUUUGGUACUUAGAGAAGAUUUUUUUUUCUUUUUUUGGCUUGAGUCUUUCCCCUGCUUCAAUCUUUUUUAUUUUAUGUGAGAAGGUAAGGACAAGCCAUUUUACACAUGGCAGUGUAUGUGGAUUUUGUUGGACAGUUGGACUAGUUACAGGCUCUUGUUUAAAAUAAAAAGGGAAAAUAAUUUUUUUUUUAAAAAAAACUCAUGCUACUAAGCACUGGAAACCAUGACGAUGGAUGUUUGUAUCGACGAAGUUUUGGGAACCCACGAGACUUACUGCAGUGACGCCUAACCGGAGGCGGUACAUAAAACACAAAUAUAGAAAAGAGCAAAAA